UUGAGAUCAUUGCUCUAUGUGAUGAUUUGUUGCUGUCAUGAGUGUUGCACAACAUAAUGGUUUGCACUUCCUGUGAAUAAGUAGUUCCUUUCUCAAGAAUACAAGAACACGCAAAAACAAAACUUACAAGGAGUACCUACCAUCCACCAAAAGCAAGCAUAUAAAUUAAAAGGUAACAGUGUGUUUCAGUUAUUUUGUAAUGGAUAUUCAUUAGCGUGGCAGAGUAUGUUUUGAAACAACACACCAGAAGGGCUGCAGGAAGACCCUGGGCAGGGACUUUGGGCAGUCCUUUUAACACUACCAUUGCAAAGGAUGACAACAUUUUGCUGCUCUCAAAUACUUUUCAGUAACGUGCAAAUCCGAAUUCAAGUUCAAGUCGACUGUGGAGGAAGGAAGAAUUGAAGUUUCUGCUACGCCGGUGCGAGCGUUUUGGUUUUGAGUGCACCGUUUGAACGCUUGUGGAGAGGAAGCUGAGUAAGAGUGUUUGUCCGUGAGUGGAGCAUGCGUGUGAUAUAGAGACCUCUCAGUCUCUUGACAGCUGGUGCAUGUAGACAGGAUGGUGUCCCUUUACAAUUUGUGCAAUUUUUAUCUCAUUCUCGCACUUAGUAUUACAUGUACAGAUGCAGCGAACAUCAUAGCAGCACGUGGAAGCUCUGUCUGUCUCCCCUGCGCCUCAGACCUGUACAGUAAUAGCACAGUUACAGUUACAUGGAGAAAAAAUGGACGCCCUGGGAUUCUGUGCCAAUACCGUGUGCUAAACGGCACAGCUGCAGAUACAAUAUCAAAAUCAUGUGACGACCGUAUCAAUAGAACAACACAACCUCCAACGCUCUGUAUAAGUGGAGUAAAAACCAGAGACGCUGGUCAUUAUAACUGUUCAGUGACUAGAGCCAUACCCCCACCAACGGUGGAUCGCUUCUACAAGGUGGAACUUCAUGUUGAAGGUCCACCGCGUGUCAUCAUACAAUCCCAGACAAGCAACACAUCAGACUGCCUUUGGCUACUGUGUGAGCUGGAUGGCCUGGACUCAGCACAGGUGAACAUCACCUGGAGCAGAAAUGGACAAAGCAUAUCUGAAACAACCAGUUCCCUACACGUGUGCAACCAUGACUGGAGUGAGGGAGACACGUUCACCUGCAACGCUAGCCAGUUUUCCAGUUACACAGACCUCAGUGCCAGCAUAACCAUCACACAGAAUCACACAAGAGAGGAUGUCUCCAAAUACUCUCUGAUUAUAAUCUGUGGGGGUGCAUUGACUGGAACCCUGGUCCUCAUCUGCCUGGUCAUCUGUAUUUAUAAAUGUAAGAAAGCUCAUUCAAAUGAUGCAUCCAUAGUGUACACCAACAAGGUCUAUGAGAAUUUCAGUUUCAGCACCACAGGCCAACAGACGCAGAGGAAUGUCUCAACACAGCAGGAGCAAUGUGUUUAUGAGAACUAACAACAAAUCUGUGCACUCCCUGUAUAACAGCUUCCGUAUGCUCCUCGGAGUGAAUUUCACUUAUACAGUAAAUUAUGAUGCAGAGAGCUGGCCUUUCAGCCAAUCUACGCUCACCAUUUGCCUACAGCUGGUGAUUAUCUAGCAAUGUGCCAAGCCUGGACCCAGAGGAUCUCUGCCUCUACUAGAUGACCUGGAAAGCUAUUUACUCCAUGUGACGAACAAACAAAACCAAAAAAAAAAUCCUGAUAUCCUUGCAGAACUUACCUUUUACACCAAUGCCCCAUGUUCAGAACCCAGUCUGAGCCUUAAUAACUGUUGAUAACUUUUUAUGAAUUUAAAAACUUCAGUCACCUUUCUCCUUUCACUAAGCCUGAAAAGAUCCUCUAUUGUAACACUCAUCUUUUGUAACAUUAACAUUCACACCAGGAACACAUUUAGUUACCCUUCUCUUUCCUGAAACUUGUAUAUCUUCCUUAUAGCAUGGUCACAGAAUUACUGUACACACAGUAAUUCUAAAGUGUGUUGUGAACAUACAGUAGUAACAUGCAUUGCAUCUCUGUGCAUCUUCUAUUUUGUUUGGUGUGUUUUACAUGUUGCAAUUGUGUAUGUGAAAUGAUCCAUUUCACUUGUGUGAAACAGGUUUUAAUUUUUUUUUUAAUGACCACAUAGAAUGAGGACCUUUUGCAAUGUGAGCAAUGCAAUUAUUUAGAUUAGACUUAAUAUAUGCCAUACACUUUGCUGUUAUGGUUAUAUGAUUGUUUAUUUAAAUAGAAUAUUUUAAUAAAGGACUUCAAAAAAAUUUCA